GAGUGUGGACAGUGAUCCAAGCAACAAAGGACACGCUGAGGAAAGCAGCUGUACCCCUCCUGGUGUCCAGACCCCAGACAGCUUCUUCAGAGGCAGCCACUGUCCCUGCUGACCUGCUGACCUCCCAGAGAUGCUUUCGUGCAUCUCUAAGCACCUGCGUCCAUAGAAGCUUAAUCCAGAUGUGCAUGUUGUUCAUAGUAUUCUUCACCCUGAUCUUGCAGCUGUUCAUUUGCUUUGCUUUUUAGCUGAAUGCAUAUUAGAGCUCCAGCUUCGUCAGCCAGACAAGCUUCCCAGGAACUGGGAGGUUAUGUCUGGCCAGCAAGGAAAGAUGUUGCAUCAGGGGCAGCUGGGAGGCAGUAGGUCACCCCAAGGCCAAGCGUCCCUUUGCUCAGCUGUCAAUUAUGCAUCUAAUUUUAGCAAAGGCCUUCUAGGAGGCUGGAUGGCCUCCAAGCACUGAAUGUGCGUUCUCUCCUGAUGCUCACAGGUCUUGCAAGGCAGGCACCGUUACCGUGCCCAUUUUACAAAUGAGUAAACAGGUGCAAAGAGUGCAAGAGUCUUGUCUGAGGCCCAGCAGCUUGUUCCUGGAAGGGCUGGGAGUUGAACCAUGGGCAUCCUGACUCUGAAAGCCUCCUGCUCUAAUGGUUCAGGGCAGUGCAAGUCGCAGUAAUGGAAGAACAGGACCUGAGCCUCAUGGAGCAUUCAGGGAUCCCCAGCACAAGGUGGAAGAGAAGCAAAUUCCUGCAGCAGGAACAUCGUGUGCAAGGCACCUGGGUGUAGUGAGUCAUUUGUUAACUCUGCAACCCAAGAGGCUUGUGAGGUGGUAGAGGAGAUGCAGUGGUGAACAGAGACAGGAGCGCAGUUACAAAGAGCUUUGAACGGCAACCUAGAAAGUGGAAUUUCUGGAGGCAACAGGAAGAUGGUGAAGGUGUUAAGCAGGAAGAGAGGAUCGAAAAGAUCUCAGGCCAGAAGUGAGCCCUGUUGUCCAUUCUCUGGGUGAUGUGGGAGAAGAACAUAGGCGGGGUGAGCCAGGGCUCCUGGAGACAGGGCACUCUGAUGGUUCCAGUCAGGCCCCCGCCCAGAGCAAGGAGGCAUGAAUUUAUUAAAUCGAGCUCAGGCUCUCGCACUAUCUUACUCUAUUCAGAUGCUCCGGAAUUCCUCUCCGAGCAGGCAUUCCCCAUCAUACCCAGAAGAACGCACAUGUUUCCUGGGCUCCCCUGGCCUUUGCCAACCCCAGUACCUUUUCAGACUGGCCCUGAAGCCCAUCUUCCAACCAGAGUUUGAGGGACUCUGAGUGGCCCAGCUGCCUCUCUCCCUAGGUCUGGAUUCCACAAAGAACCACCCAGAAAUUGGUAGUGUUCUCCUCUUAGAAAACAAGCUUCAAUUCUUUCUUUGGCUGAGUUUCUCACCGUGACUGCUUUUCAUUAGCUUUUCAAGGGGAAAACAAAUUUUCCCCAGUGGAAAGUGGCCACUCACUGCAGAGGCAUUGUCCAUUUAAUAUGUUUGUAUGCGGAAGGCCCCAAGCCUGGGUCUGUAAGGCUCCGGCCGGGACCCUUGGGCAGUAGGUUCAGUUUAGGAAGCUUCCUGGCAGACACUGUCUAAAGAGACAGGCCUCCUGUGAAACCUUCAGGGUUGGGGAAACCUGGGGACCUUCAGCCAUCUGCUGUCCAUUGCUACCCCCACGUCUACCCAGCUUUUUCUUCCAGUCCAAGUCCUAGUUUACCUAGUGGAGAAGCCUCUCAAAGCCUCUCUUCUUCCUAACCUCUCUUCCCCUGGUGCUUUAAAAAAAAAAAAGUGGGGGUGAGUACUAAAGACAGAAAGGAAUCCAGCUGGUUAAACUCCAAUCCAUGUCACUCUGUGGAAUCAAAGAGGCCUUUACCUGGGCACAAUCCUCCUUCAAGGGCCCAAUUCUACAAGGACUGAGACCAAGAUGGAGGAUCUGUACUCCCACAGUAUUGAUCAGAAGGUUCAGAUACCUGUAAGAGGAAGAAGAAAAGCAAGAAGUAGAAAGGCAGGAAGUGGAGACCGAGAAGGAAAAUGGAAGAUAAACAAGAAGUGGAAAUUGUCCAAUGGGGGCCAAUAUGGCUGAACACUCCUUUGCCAAGUGGGUCUCCCUUGAGAAGAGAUGAGGAGAAUUUAGGCUAUGGAAGACCAGUCUCCAUCUUAGAAACCCCACCCUCAACAUUGGCUUUUCUUCCUUUUUUUUUUCUUCUUUUGUUUAUUUGUUAUUCAGAAGGUUGUAUGGAUAAGGAUGGGUGAGAUAAAUCACUUCCAGUUACUGGCUUGAGCUAAGCCCUCCCUCCCACGCACCCCACGCAUACACUAAUACCCUCUUGCACAGAAGAUACUUCCUGCUGUGACACACAGAAAAGUACCAGCCAUCCACAGAGCCCAGAACAUUUCUCCCACAAUACAAUGGCAGCUCCUCCUCAGAGUGAGUCGGGAU
rnacentral:lncRNA from 1 species